CCUACGGGCGGCAGCAGUGAGGAAUAUUGGUCAAUGGACGAGAGUCUGAACCAGCCAAGUAGCGUGAAGGAUGACUGCCCUAUGGGUUGUAAACUUCUUUUAUAUGGGAAUAAAAUGUUCCACGUGUGGGAUUUUGUAUGUACCAUAUGAAUAAGGAUCGGCUAACUCCGUGCCAGCAGCCGCGGUAAUACGGAGGAUCCGAGCGUUAUCCGGAUUUAUUGGGUUUAAAGGGUGCGUAGGUGGAUUGUUAAGUCAGUUGUGAAAGUUUGCGGCUCAACCGUAAAAUUGCAGUUGAAACUGGCAGUCUUGAGUACAGUAGAGGUGGGCGGAAUGCGUGGUGUAGCGGUGAAAUGCUUAGAUAUCACGAAGAACUCCGAUUGCGAAGGCAGUUCACUGGACUGCAACUGACACUGAGGCUCGAAAGUGUGGGUAUCAAACAGGAUUAGAUACCCGGGUAGUC
rnacentral:rRNA from 1 species